rnacentral:misc_RNA from 1 species
GCGUGUUACCCGAUAAAGGACGCGGGAGUUUCCGUUUGGCUGGAGACUGGCUCUCCAUUUCUAUGCUUCGCUGAUGUUCAGCAGCUAAUUCUUCCCCAUGAAGCCUGGCGUGCUCCAAUAAUUCGCUGUGAACAAAACAAUACUCUCGAUGCUUGCACAUAUGUCUAACUUAGAUUUGGUCUAUGAUGAACGCGAUGCGAUGCAAGGGCGGCUGAAGUGGAUGCUGCGAAUGGACACUCCCCGCAACCGUAAACUUUCUGAAAUACCAGAAAUGAGAUGUGACAAAGACAAUCGUGAAUAAAAACUCGGAG